ACGCUCGACACCUACGGGAGCAGCAGUGGGGAAUAUUGCACAAUGGGGGAAACCCUGAUGCAGCGACGCCGCGUGAGUGAAGAAGUAUUUCGGUAUGUAAAGCUCUAUCAGCAGGGAAGAAAAUGACGGUACCUGAGUAAGAAGCCCCGGCUAACUACGUGGCAGCAGCCGCGGUAAUCUGAGCGGGCUGGCAAGGC
rnacentral:rRNA from 1 species